AGUAGCGCAGGGGCGGGGUGGGGCUAAGGGGACCCUCAUCCUCCCUAUCGGACAAGUGGGGGUCCUGAGCACUGCCCCAGAAGGGGUCCAGAGAACGUUAUGGGCUGAGACACACCCGCGGGGGCAGAAACUGGAGGACACGACGGACAUCACUAGCAUCCAGGACUCUGUCCCUCCUUUCAACUGCCCCAUGUUCGCCACCCCUGCGUUAGCACCCUGUGGGCCCAGGGCCGUCCGGGGUAACAGUCAAGGCGCUCUUGGAUGCUCUGCGAAUCACCGCCGCUUCGUCCUUACUUUGGGACCGGUCACAGGCUUCCGGCUUCCAUCGGCCGCUUUAGAUAGGUGCCCUCUCGGGUACCUCAACCCCGCCCCCCGGGGUCAAAUGUGUGCCUCUCCUGGAAAUCCUCUGCGAAGGAGACAAACUUUUGAGUGGACGAAAAUCUAGAGGAGCCUGUCUGGAGCAGGUUUGGAGACAGGAAAGUGAAUGUUUAACCCCACACUCCACUCAUCUUUCCCUGCUCUCCUGUCAACCUCAAAGCUGCCGGGAGGAAGGAACUGCGGCUUCCAGCCCUGCCAAUAAUCAAAGAAAAUUCAAAUUCUAUCCUGAGAAGAAGGGCAGCUGCCUCCUUCCCUAUCCUGCCUGCACACAUUGAUCUGUUGUGAGGGCACCUGGGGGGUCAGAAAAGAGACCAGACUGUUUUAAUUGGUCUAAAAUUAGCAUUUCCUAUCACACCAACGGCCAGAAACAAGAGGUCUUUGCCCAGACGCGUACCUGUCCUCAGGCCCCUCAGGCCAGCAACGGUGUCCACAUUUGUUGGGGUGGGGAGUAGAAGGGGACAUGGGCAAUUCCACCCAUUUUGCAUCCAGUGUCCAUAGCCGUUCACUCUCCUUAAUGUUUUCUUUCUGCACUCGUCAUGGGCAAAACAUCGCUUCUACCUCGGCAAGUCACAUUUAUCGGAAGAUUUUCGCCUCCCGAGACCUCAGUGUGCUGUGGACAGAUACACAAAUAAACAGAUGGGAAAAGAAAA